GGAACGGCCUAGGGACCUGGUGCUCCGUGCAGACUUGUUCGCACCACUGGGGAGCUCACACCCUGGUGGGAAACUUGCAGUCUGCUCAAGUUUUGUACUUCUUCCCCCACCCUCAUGCUGUCCUAAUUGAAGGCUACUUUUUGAAGAUGGUACUUCCUCCAGGACUUUACAGACCUUCUUCCCCCGUCAAGCCUAAGUUAGAGACUGCUUCUGAUCCACAGGAACCUACACUUUUCCACUGACGAUGAGUUGGUCUCUAUAAACUCUUCUCGCCUGUUUAUUCUGAUGACAUCAGUUACCAUGCUGUGAGGUGCCCAGUGGAGAGGCCCAUGUGGCAAGAAACUGAAGGAGGCCUCAGGCCAAAAGCCAGUUAAAGAAAUGAGGCCCUCAGCCCAACAGCCUGUGAGAAACUAAAUCUUCCAAUACCCCUUAAGUGCACCUGAAAGCAGAUCCUCCUAAGUGGAGUUGUGAGGUGACUGCAGCCCCAGCCAACAACUGACCAUGACCUGUGAGAGAUCCUGAGCCAGAGGGCUCAGUUAAGCCGCUGGAUUUCUGACCACAGAAAAUGUGUGACAAUAAAUAUUUGUUGUUUUGCCCUAAA